AGAGUUUGAUCCUGGCUCAGAAUGAACGCUGGCGGCGUGCCUAACACAUGCAAGUCGUGCGCGAACGGGGCUUCGGCUCCUAGUAGAGCGGCGAACGGGUGAGUAACACGUGGGUAACCUGCCUGGGAGUGGGGAAUAACCUGGGGAAACUCGGGCUAAUACCGCAUACGUUCCCGGAGCUACGGCUCCGGGAAGAAAGAUGGCCUCUGCUUGCAAGCCAUCUCUCCCAGAGGGGCCCGCGGCUGAUUAGCUAGUUGGUGAGGUAACGGCCCACCAAGGCGACGAUCAGUAGCCGGCCUGAGAGGGUGAUCGGCCACACUGGAACUGAGACACGGUCCAGACUCCUACGGGAGGCAGCAGUGGGGAAUAUUGGACAAUGGGGGAAACCCUGAUCCCAGCAACCCCCGCGUGGGGGAUGAAGGUCUUCGGGAUUGGUAAACCCCCUGGUUGAAGAGGGGACGAAAGGUUUGCCGGGCGAAACAGUCCCGUAAAACUUGAACGGGUACCUCGAGAAGGAAACCCCGGGCUAACUCUUGUUGCCAGCCAGCCGCGGUAAUAACGAGGGGGGCGAGCGUUAUUUUGGAAUUAUUUGGGGCGUAAAGGGGCGCGUAAGCGGGCCGUGCAAGUCUUGGGGUGGAAAUCCCCUCUGGCUCCACCCGAAGAACUUGCCCUGGGAAACUGCACGGCUUCUAGGCCGGGAGAGAGAUGGUGGGAAUUUCUCACAUGUAGCCGGUGGAAUGGGGUGAUAUUUGGAGGACCCUGGUGGAGAAGCGACAUCGACGUUCUGACUGUGAGGCGCGAAAGGCUGGGUACAACAGGAUUAGAUCCCGUGUAGUCCACGCCUAAACGAUGGUUACUCGUUGUCGCGGGUAUCGACCCCGCGUGCUUUAGCUAACCGCGUUAAGUACCCCGCCUGGGGGAGUACGGUUCGCAAAGGCUGAAACUUCAAAAGGGAAUGGACGGGGGGCCCCGCCACAAGGCGGGUGGAGCAUGUGGUUUAUUUCGAUGCAACGCGAAAGAACCUUACCUGGGCUCGAACGGUUGGUGACAGCGGUAGAAAUACCGUCUCUCCUUCGGGAGUCGCCAUCGAGGUGCUGCAUGGCUGUCGUCAGCUCGUGUCGUGAGAUGUUGGGUUAAGUCCCGCAACGAGCGCAACCCCUAUCCUUAGUUGCCAGCGGAUAAUGCCGGGCACUCUAGGGAGACUGCCUCGGAAAUCGAGGAGGAGGGUGGGGAUGACGUCAAGUCCGCAUGGCCUUUAUGUCCAGGGCUACACACGUGCUACAAUGGACGGUACAGAGGGUCGCAAAGCCGCGAGGUAGAGCUAAUCCCAUAAAACCGUCCUCAGUACGGAUUGCAGUCUGCAACUCGACUGCAUGAAGCUGGAAUCGCUAGUAAUCCCGGAUCAGCACGCCGGGGUGAAUACGUUCCCGGGCCUUGUACACACCGCCCGUCACAUCACGAAAGCCGGCUGUACCGGAAGUCGCUGUGCCAACCGCAAGGAGGCAGGCGCCCAUGGUAUGGUCGGUGAUUGGGGUGAAGUCGUAACAAGGUAACC
rnacentral:rRNA from 1 species